AGUUCUAUCUGUCUAUGUUCUACAGUUCUACAGUUCUAUGCUCUACAGUUCUACAGUUUCAUCUGUCUAUGUUCUACAGUUCUACAGUUCCAUCUGUCGAUGUUCUACAGUUCUACAGUUCUAUCUGUCUAUGUUCAACAGUUCUACAGUUUUAUCUGUCUAUGUUCUACAGUUCUACAGUUCUAUCUAUGUUCUACAGUUCUAUCUUUCUAUGUUCUACAGUUCUACAGUUCUAUGUUCUACAGUUCUACAGUUUUGUCUGUCUAUGUUCUACAGUUCUACAGUUGCAUCUGUCGAUGUUCUACAGUUCUACAGUUCUAUCUGUCUAUGCUCUACAGUUCAACAGUUUUAUCUGUCUAUGUUCUACAGUUCUACAGUUUUAUCUGUCUAUGUUCUACAGUUCCAUCUGUCUAUGUUCUACAGUUCUAUCUAUGUUCUACAGUUCUACAGUUCUAUCUAUGUUCUACAAUUCUACAGUUCUAUCUAUGUUCUACAGUUCUACAGUUCUAUCUGUCUAUGUUCUACAGUUCUACAGUUCUAUCUAUGUUCUACAGUUCUACAGUUCCAUCUGUCGAUGUUCUACAGUUCUACAGUUCUAUCUGUCUAUUCUCUACAGUUCAACAGUUUUAUCUGUCUAUGUUCUACAGUUCUACAGUUUUAUCUGUCUAUGUUCUACAGUUCCAUCUGUCUAUGUUCUACAGUUCUAUCUAUGUUCUACAGUUCUACAGUUCUAUCUGUCUAUGUUCUACAGUUCUACAGUUCUAUCUAUGUUCUACAGUUCUACAGUUCUAUCUGUCUAUGUUCUACAGUUCUACAGUUCUAUCUAUGUUCUACGGUUCUACAGUUCUAUCUAUGUUCUACAGUUCUACAGUUCUAUCUGUCUGUUUUCACUAAAACAUCCAUGAUCAGAUUAGAACAGAUGAACCUGAAAGAACCAAAAGAGGAGACAAGCAACUGACCACACCCCCUUCUACUGACCACACCCCUGAAAUAACCUGUGAUUGGACAGAGGCGUCCAUCUUUCAGACGUCAAAGUGGUUCUUAUGGAAACUCUGGAUCAGCUGGAGAAGGAGGAGUUUGAGCGUUUCAAGUGGCGUCUGAAGAACACCAGACACAACAUCCCACCGCAUCAGCUGACGGACGCAGACAGAGCCCGGACCGUGGACCUGAUGGUGUCCUUCGCCCGCGCCGACGCCGUGAACGGAACCCUGGCCCUCCUACCUGAGAUCCCCAGGAACGACCUGCUGGAACCUCUGAGGAACCGGGCCAGGUCCAUAGGGAUGCAGGUGUGAUGGGGUCACCACGGUAACCGCAGCAUCACAGGAGUCAGGCGCCUUAUUGAAAACCAGCACCGAUCCGAGCCGAACUGAGCCGAACCGAGCCAAACCCAGCUGAGCCAAACCCAGCCGAGCCAAGCUCCACCAUCUGGAAGAUUCUAUUUUUAAAUUUGAUUAAAAAUAUUUCAACAAAAUAAUGAAAUGUCAAAGAUUUUGAUCCUGAACAAAAAUGAAUAAAUGUCACUUUCUUCUUUUUUUUAUUGAG